AGCUCCUGAGGGCAAAGCCUGGGCCUCAUCCUCUUGUGGAUCCAGGAGAGCAGUCGCUGAAGAGAAAGAGGAAGAAAAGGAGUGGCUAGAAAAGAAAGUUUAUUUCCACUGCAGGAAGCACUGCCUCCCAUCUGAGAAAUGUCCCAAGCAGGAAUCAGUGCUGCGAUGAACUUAUGAGUGAAUGCAUCAAAAAGACCAAGUUGAACUUAUGAGCGAAUGCAUCAAAAAGACCAAGACUUGAUCCCUUGCCCACAAAGAUACAAGGCUGAGGACAAAGCCAUGAAGGAAAAGCCUCACUGAAGAAGAGGAACCUAAGAGAAGCAGGUUCUGCUCUGAUGAACUCCCAUAAAGGCAUUCCCAUAAAGGUGUGGGCCUGAGUGAUAAUCUAGAUAUGGUACAGUUGACAUCAGGUAUAUGGCGGCAGCCAGAAAUUCAACUUUGUCCAUCAGCUCUCUGCACAACAGGAAAGAUGGUGACCUUCCA
rnacentral:lncRNA from 1 species